rnacentral:rRNA from 1 species
AGUGAACGCUGGCGGUAGGCCUAACACAUGCAAGUCGAACGGCAGCACAGUAAGAGCUUGCUCUUACGGGUGGCGAGUGUCGGACGGGUGAGGAAUACAUCGGAAUCUACUUUUUCGUGGGGGAUAACGUAUGGAAACUUACGCUAAUACCGCAUACGACCUACGGGUGAAAGCAGGGGAUCUUCGGACCUUGCGCGAUUGAAUGAGCCGAUGUCGGAUUAGCUAGUUGGCGGGGUCACGGCCCACCAAGGCGACGAUCCGUAGCUGGUCUGAGAGGAUGAUCAGCAACAUGGGAACUAAGACACGGUGCAGAGUCCUAGGGGAGGCAGCAGUGGGGAAUAGUAGACAAGGGGCGCAAGCCUGAUCCAGCCAUACAGCGUGGGUGAAGAAGGCCUUCGGGUUGUAAAGCCCUUUUGUUGGGAAAGAAAACCAGCAGGUGAAUACCCCGCUGUUCUGACGGUAACCAAAGAAUAAGCACCGGCUAACUUCGUG